GACGAACGUUGGCGGCGUGCUUAACACAUGCAAGUCGAACGGAAAGGCCCUGCUUUUGUGGGGUGCUCGAGUGGCGAACGGGUGAGUAACACGUGAGUAACCUGCCCUUGACUUUGGGAUAACUUCAGGAAACUGGGGCUAAUACCGGAUAGGAGCUCCUGCUGCAUGGUGGGGGUUGGAAAGUUUCGGCGGUUGGGGAUGGACUCGCGGCUUAUCAGCUUGUUGGUGGGGUAGUGGCUUACCAAGGCUUUGACGGGUAGCCGGCCUGAGAGGGUGACCGGCCACAUUGGGACUGAGAUACGGCCCAGACUCCUACGGGAGGCAGCAGUGGGGAAUAUUGCACAAUGGGCGGAAGCCUGAUGCAGCAACGCCGCGUGCGGGAUGACGGCCUUCGGGUUGUAAACCGCUUUCGCCUGUGACGAAGCGUGAGUGACGGUAAUGGGUAAAGAAGCACCGGCUAACUACGUGCCAGCAGCCGCGGUGAUACGUAGGGUGCGAGCGUUGUCCGGAUUUAUUGGGCGUAAAGGGCUCGUAGGUGGUUGAUCGCGUCGGAAGUGUAAUCUUGGGGCUUAACCCUGAGCGUGCUUUCGAUACGGGUUGACUUGAGGAAGGUAGGGGAGAAUGGAAUUCCUGGUGGAGCGGUGGAAUGCGCAGAUAUCAGGAGGAACACCAGUGGCGAAGGCGGUUCUCUGGGCCUUUCCUGACGCUGAGGAGCGAAAGCGUGGGGAGCGAACAGGCUUAGAUACCCUGGUAGUCCACGCUGUAAACGGUGGGUACUAGGUGUGGGGUCCAUUCCACGGGUUCCGUGCCGUAGCUAACGCUUUAAGUACCCCGCCUGGGGAGUACGGCCGCAAGGCUAAAACUCAAAGGAAUUGACGGGGCCCCGCACAAGCGGCGGAGCAUGCGGAUUAAUUCGAUGCAACGCGUAGAACCUUACCUGGGUUUGACAUGGAUCGGGAGCGCUCAGAGAUGGGUGUGCCUCUUUUGGGGUCGGUUCACAGGUGGUGCAUGGCUGUCGUCAGCUCGUGUCGUGAGAUGUUGGGUUAAGUCCCGCAACGAGCGCAACCCUUGUUCACUGUUGCCAGCACGUUAUGGUGGGGACUCAGUGGAGACCGCCGGGGUCAACUCGGAGGAAGGUGGGGAUGACGUCAAGUCAUCAUGCCCCUUAUGUCCAGGGCUUCACGCAUGCUACAAUGGCUGGUACAGAGAGUGGCGAGCCUGUGAGGGUGAGCAAAUCUCGGAAAGCCGGUCUCAGUUCGGAUUGGGGUCUGCAACUCGACCUCAUGAAGUCGGAGUCGCUAGUAAUCGCAGAUCAGCAACGCUGCGGUGAAUACGUUCCCGGGGCU
rnacentral:rRNA from 1 species